UCAGAGGGAGCUGGGAGAUGACGGUGCUGAAGGAAGGAGCUGCGCUGUCUGUGUGUCCUGGCAGUGCUGACAGGCUACUUUACCAUCCAGUGAAGUCUUGGACAGUAAAGUUAUUAUCUGCUUCUCUCUAUAAAACCUCUGUGGGCCUCUGGUGACAGUGAGGUAUGGAGCAGUGCAGGGCUGGUGAAGCAGUCAUUUUCUGAUGAUGACAGUCUGGAGGAGCGGUCCACUGCAGAUUGCAAGCCGCGUGCAAAGCCCUCACAACAGCCCCAGCAUAGAGAGAGACUGAGAGAGGCGGGCCAUGAGGUGGAGUCAGACUCGCCAUAUAAGGUGCAAGAGACAAAUUACAGCUGAAUGUAGACUACCAUUGCUGGACCUUCCGCCAGACUGGAGACCAGCCAGACCGGGUAAGGCUAGCACAAGGAGGCUGAAGACAAUGGUGAGGGACGUCAGCCAGAACGUGAUAAAGAGUUAUUUGGAAAAGACAAGAACAAAAAAAGACACCAAAAGUCUUCUGCCGUCAUCCAGUUUUCUGACUUGCUGCAAUAAUUUACAUUUCUUAUCAAGACAUUCGCCCGCUAAAACAAGGGUUGACAUCAGCCAAUUAACCUCCAUACUCAGAAAGCCACAUGGGGCAUAGUUUUCACUACUAGGAAAUAAUUUUUUCCUGAAAGACUAUCACAUUCAUUUUCUGAUCUAUGUUCAUGCAUAUUUAUAAGGACUGAGUGAAGAACACCCAUUAUAGUGUACUGAGAAUGAAUGUU